UACGAAGGGGGCUAGCGUUGCUCGGAAUCACUGGGCGUAAAGGGUGCGUAGGCGGGUCUUUAAGUCAGAGGUGAAAUCCUGGAGCUCAACUCCAGAACUGCCUUUGAUACUGAGGAUCUUGAGGACUGGAGAGGAGACUGGAAUUUACGGUGUAGCGGUGAAAUGCGUAGAUAUCGGAAGGAAGACCAGUGGCGAAGGCGGGUCUCUGGACAGUUCCUGACACUGAGGCACGAAGGCCAGGGGAGCAAACGGG
rnacentral:rRNA from 1 species